GUUCCUGGUGAUGAUGGCUCAGUGCUGGCCACAGCCCAUCUUGUGGAGAUGGAGAACCCCCUGUCCACAGUGGUCCUGUGCAAAGGAGGUGAUGGAGGAGCUGAGGUUGGUCACAGGUACCAGGAGGGAUGGAGAGAGGGAGCAUCCUCCCCGAACAGGCACGAUGCUGCUCCUGCUUGAGGAUGCACACAGUGGAGCGCAAAGAUAAAGAUUGCAUCUCAUGCAUAAUGCAUGGCCCAGCAACCCGCUGCUGCCACAAAUUACCCGAGCAGAUUCCUCCAAUGGGGCUGGAAGAAAGGAAGGAGGGGGGGAAGAUAUUGUACUGAGUAUCUUUCUAAAGGGAUGACAAGAGAAACACCUAAAAAACAGGGAGAGAUGCUCGCAAAAGGGGUCAAUAUGGAAGUAAAGGUGAUGAGUGUGGAGCAGCAGGUCUGAACAGAGAGUGGGGUAACAGCAGUUCUGCUGGUCCUGGACGGAUGGGGACAGCCCAGAGCUGCCUAUGGAGAUGUCCAGGGUGUGAGUUUGUGUUGGUGGGAGCUUAUAAGAGGAAUGACUUGUGGGUAGGGAAAAGGGUUACUUGAUUUAUUUAUCACUUUCAAUUAGAUGCGAUGCAGCUCUGCACUCAUGCUGCAUUCAGAGAUGCUUCUGUAGAGCGGGAGCAAGCAGAGCAAAACACAUGUGAGAGGAUGGUGAGGAGGGGACAGAAAGGUGGGAACUGGCCACUGAAGUCACUUGGAAUCUUUAUUCCUUGCUGUCAGCAGCCCAGGAGCAGCCUUGGCUUCCCCCACUGCUGCUGUUUGCAGCCUUGGACGCUGCCUCCCCUCCCUGUAGGAGAGAAGCUGCAAGCAGAUGCUGCAGCCUUUCCUUCUGUAGUGUAUAAAGUGACCAAGCCGCUUCCCCAUGUGUGCUUCACCCUUGCUAACUCUGAGCUAUGCACUGCAGGAUAGCAGGAGAGGCAGGAGCCCAUUGCCCGUCUCCAAGAGCAAUUCCCUCUGGAGCUCUGCAGCAUGGUGGGAAAUGCAGAUGCUGAUUUGGGAGUAGUGUUAAACUUGGGGGUGGAGAGAAAUGGCAUUUUAGGAGCAGAUGGGGCGGGAUUUGCUUUAGCUUCGGGCUGGAGCAUGAGGGGUUGGCCCAUCAACCCAGCGGGGAUGCUGCUGCAGGUAGAGGUAACCAGUUUGGUGCUGCCAAAGAUGGAGCAUCCAUAGGCAUUUUCUGCUUUAGAAACCAAAGCCUGUUGAAAAGGGGCCUCUGAUUUGCCUCAAGGGGAAUGGGUACCAAAACUUCAGCAAGCACCAAGUAUGCUGAUAACUGUACAGAGGCCUCUGGAUGGCUGUGAUUCGAUGUAAGGCACAUUUUAAGACUGUUUGCUACGGGGUUUUAUUCCAUUUAAGUAAUACAGAAUAAGGCCUG